GACGAACGCUGGCGGCGUGCUUAACACAUGCAAGUCGAGCGGAAAGGCCACUUCGGUGGUACUCGAGCGGCGAACGGGUGAGUAACACGUGAGUAAUCUGCCCUUUGCUUUGGGAUAGCCACCGGAAACGGUGAUUAAUACCGGAUCCGACCACUUCUCGCAUGGGAUGGUGGUGUAAAUUUUGUCGACCAGGGAUGUGCUCGCGGCCUAUCAGCUUGAUGGUGGGGUAAUGGCGCACCAUGGCUUCGACGGGUAGCCGGCCUGAGAGGGUGACCGGUCACACUGGGACUGAGACACGGCCCGGACUCCUACGGGAGGCAGCAGUGGGGAAUAUUGGACAAUGGGCGGAAGCCUGAUCCAGCAACGCCGCGUGAGGGAUGACGGCCUUCGGGUUGUAAACCUCUUUCGGUGGGGACGAAGCGCAAGUGACGGUACCCACUAAAGAAGCACCGGCCAACUACGUGCCAGCAGCCGCAGUAAUAC
rnacentral:rRNA from 1 species